rnacentral:rRNA from 1 species
AACGAACGCUGGCGGCAGGCUUAACACAUGCAAGUCGAACGCCCCGCAAGGGGAGUGGCAGCCGGGUGAGUAACGCGUGGGAACAUACCCUUUUCUACGGAAUAGCUCUGGGAAACUGGAAUUAAUACCGUAUACGCCCUACGGGGGAAAGAUUUAUCGGGGAAGGAUUGGCCCGCGUUGGAUUAGCUAGUUGGUGGGGUAAAGGCCUACCAAGGCGACGAUCCAUAGCUGGUCUGAGAGGAUGAUCAGCCACAUUGGGACUGAGACACGGCCCAAACUCCUACGGGAGGCAGCAGUGGGGAAUAUUGGACAAUGGGCGCAAGCCUGAUCCAGCCAUGCCGCGUGAGUGAUGAAGGCCUUAGGGUUGUAAAGCUCUUUCACCGAUGAAGAUAAUGACGGUAGUCGGAGAAGAAGCCCCGGCUAACUUCGU